AUAUUGAUCAAAUGUAAUUGCGAAGCCAUUGCGGACGCAAUGAGUAGUUUAUAAAAAAAAGUGUGUUUGUGAAGUUAUUGUUGCGUGUUGAAAUUCUUUAUUGCUGUCACGUGUUGCGUCAACGUUUCCCUUCUGAACCAAUCAGCUUCCAACGUGGAAGGAACCAAGUGGAUGCCUAAUUUGUGCAACAUUUUUCAGCAAAGCAAUCGCAUCAUCUGAAAUAGAUAAUCGGAUUCAAAUAACCAUAAAGUUGCAUUAUAGCUCAAUCGAUUACCUAAAUUCCCGGGAUAUAUAUCAUUGCGCAUGCACGUCCUCAGGUCUUAUGCAAUCAACGCGUCAACGUUUCCUUUCUGGACCAAUCAGCUUCCAACGUGGAAGGAACCAAGUGGAUGCCUAAUUUGAGCAACAUUUUUCAGCAAAGCAAUCGCAUCAUCUGAAAUAGAUUUUCCAUUGGUUGAGUGUGGUUGCAAGUUUGUCGACGUAUUCAAAAGGAACCAAUCAAAAUCUUGAACAUCCAGAGCUUUAAGUGGCUGACUAAUUGAGCAUCUUACACGGAUUGAAGUUCAUCAUUUUCUAUUCCAUAGAUUGGGCGUGUCUGUCAAAAUUUGACGUUUAUCGCUAACGUGUCAUUCCUGAGCCAAUCAAACGUGCAGAGCUUCUAGUAGCAGAUCUAUUAAGGAGAUUGUUGCAGUUAUUUGAGUUAAACUGAUAUCGAAGUUCCAUUGGUUGGUCGUGUCUGACAAAAUUUGACGUGUCCCUCCUGAGCCAGAGAAAACAUCGAGCGUGCAAAGCUUCUAGUAACAGACUUAUUGAGAAUCUUGUUCCAGUUUCUUCAGUUUAUCUGAAUUAUCUAUUCCAUCGGUUGGGCGUGUCUCGAAAAAUUUGACGUUUAUCGUUGACGUGUCACUCCACAGCCAAUCUAAACAUCGAACGUGCAGAGCAUUACUUGAGUUCAUCUGAUAUCGAUUACACUACAUCGUAUUACAAGAAUUCCGUUAGGCAGAUACUAGGU